UACAGAGGUCCCGAGCGUUAGGCGGAAUCACUGGGCUUAAAGCGUGUGUAGGCGGAUUUGUAAGUACCUUGUGAAAUCCCACAGCUUAACUGUGGAACUGCUUGGUAUACUGCUUAUCUUGGGCCACUUAGGGGUUACCGGAACAAACGGUGGAGCGGUGAAAUGCGUAGAUAUCGUUUGGAACGCCAAUGGUGAAAACAGGUAACUGGGAGUGUGCCGACGCUGAGAUACGAAAGCCAGGGGAGCGAACGGG
rnacentral:rRNA from 1 species